ACGGUCCAGACUCCUAACGGGAGGCAGCAGCUAAGAAUCUUCCGCAAUGGUCGACAGACUGACGGAGCGACGCCGCCGUGAAUGAUGAAGGCCUUACAGGUUUGUAACAUUCUUUCUAAUAGGGACGAAUGUUUAACUUUAGGUUAAUCUGACGGUACCUUUUUGAAUAAGAUCCGGCUAACUAACGUGCCUACAGCCGCGGUACUACGUAAGAAUCCGAGCGUUGUUCGGGAAUUACUGGGGCGUUAAGUGGUCCGCAAGGCGGUUUUGNAUAAGUCAGAUGUGAAAUCUCGCGGGCUCAACCCCGAGGCUGCGUCUGAUACUGUCAGGCUAGGGUUACUGAGAGGAAGACGGAAUUUCUGGUGUAGGGGUGAAAUCUAUAGAUAUCAGAAAGAACACCGGUUGCGAAGGCGGUCUUCUAACAGUUAACCGACGCUGAGGUACGAAAGGCAGGGUAGCAAACAGGAUUAGAGACCCUGGUAGUCCUGCCUGUAAACGUUGUAUACUAGGUGGUGGGCGCAUUGAUCCGUUCACUGCCGCAGCUAACGCAUUAAGUAUACCGCCUGGGGAGUAUGCCGGCAACGGUGAAACUCAAAGGAAUUGACGGGGGCCCGCACAAGCAGUGGAGCAUGUUGUUUAAUUCGAUGAUACGCGAGAAACCUUACCAGGUCUUGACAUAUACAUGGCGCUUAUAGAGAUAUAAGUUCUCUUCGGAGCAUGUAUACAGGUGCUGCAUGGUUGUCGUCAGCUCGUGCCGUGAGGUGUUGGGUUAAGUCCCGCAACGAGCGCAACCCCUAUUCUCUGUUGCUAACGGUUCGGCCGAGCACUCGGAGGAAACUGCCGGUGACAAACCGGAGGAGGGUGGGGAUGACGUCAAAUCAUCACGGCCCUUAUGACCUGGGCUACAAACGUGCUACAAUGGACGGUACAAUGAGUUGCGAGAUUGCGAAAUUAAGCUAAUCUCAAAAAGCCGUCCUCAGUUCGGAUUGGAGUCUGAAACCCGACUCCAUGAAGCUGGAAUUGCUAGUAAUCGCACAUCAGCAUGGUGCGGUGAAUACGUUCCCGGGCCUUGUACACACCGCCCGUCACAUCACCCGAGUUGGUUAUACCCGAAGUAUCUGAC
rnacentral:rRNA from 1 species